UACGGAGGGUGCGAGCGUUGUCCGGAAUCACUGGGCGUAAAGGGCGCGUAGGCGGCGCGGGAAGUCAUCGGUGAAAGUUCAGGGCUCAACUCUGAAUCGGCCGGUGAUACUCUCGUGCUCGAGCACUGUAGAGGCAGGUGGAAUUCCGGGUGUAGCGGUGAAAUGCGCAGAUAUCAGGAGGAACACCAAUUGCGAAGGCAGCUCGCUGGGACGUUACUGACGCUGAGACGCGAAAGCGUGGGGAGCAAACAGG
rnacentral:rRNA from 1 species